GAUAACCUUGAUGGACUAUUAUUUUUUAAUACUAUCAGCCUGUACUCAUGAAAAUACACUACAAGGAAAAAUAAUCACCUACAAGUUGUCCCUACAUAAGGUACUCUUUUGGCCAUUCCACUACAAAUUAGUUACUCUUUCAGCAAUUUCAAUACAAGUUAGUGUGUUUUGCCCAAUAUUAUGUACCUAGAACAGUACACACCCUAUCGAUUUGCAACCAUCCAUUUCCGGGUCUAGAGUUUGAACCAUCUCUUUUUGUUCAUUAUCCCAAAAAAUAUUUACUCAUCGUUGAACAAUAACAUAAUGCCUGCCAUAGUAAGAAUUUGAACAACAAUGUGCAUGUUCUUGAUGAUGAUCCCAUGAUAAGUUAGCAUCAUCUUUUUUGAAUUGGCAGGUAAGGUCCUACCGACGACAAUAUUUGACUUCGUUGUAUUUUUGUUCCUCUCACGGGACAUCAUACCAGAGUUGAAACCGAACUGAAGGUACAAGGCAUGGCCUGGUAGACAACCUACUUCUUUUUUUUUGGUUGGAUUUCAGAAACUGCGGGCCUAUAUUGUGUGCUGCAUGUAUUAAUUCCACUAUUUAGUUUCACAUGAAAGAAUCUUAGUAUAAUUAAAAUCAACUAGGUAUUCCAACUCCAUGCAGGGGGACGCCAUGGAGCAAGUCGAGUUCGUGGAGCAAGUCAUGGACGAUGCCAAGGAAGGUAUACUCUCUCCCUCUCCUUACCGUGCUACUUCUCGUUGUGUCCAUGGCCAUUGAGUUGUGCUAGGUUCUGUGCUGCUGUCGACGCACAUUUAUAAGAUUUGGGGCUGUAGGUUUCAGUGGAUUUAUUUAGAAAUAAAUAGAUAUGUUGGUUCACAGAAAACAGUUUUACUGUAGAUGUAAAGAAUUAGCAAUGGAUCUCUAGGCUGGUGAUGACCAUGUAAAUUCAUUUCAGUGGAUUUGGGGCUGUAGGUUUGUUUCAAAGCGUGGUGAGCACUUACAAGUUUCCCUAUUUCCUGUUGGAUGACUGAAACCAACUAGAAAUAGAUGUUUUGGUUCAGUUUCAGAUGACAAACCGUUUUGGUCCAGUUUGCUAACAAACUGGAGAUGAAAAGAGAAGUGGUACUGUCAAUCACAUUGCCCUAUGCACAUCAGCACUUAGGCUAAUGUCCAUAUAAUUUUAUUUAGCCAUGUUUUCUGCAGUUUGUGUCGUAUAUUGUGGCGUCUGGAUUAGUCAUCAAGGACAACUAACACUCAUGCUGGUAUCUUCUCAUAAUCACAUACGAAUUUGUGUUCAAAUUGUAGUGCUAUCUUGUUUAUUUGAUUCUUCUUAUUUUCUAUUAGACUGUUGUCCAGACCAAAAAAAAUGUGCUGAUGAGCAGUAAGUGUGCGCAAAGUGGUUCUUACUUCUUAAUGCACUGUGUGUUAACGGUUCAUUUUCUUAUUUUCUUUGUAGGUUCAAAAGAUACAUGGAUGAUUAUAUGGGUGCAUGACAAGUACACUGCAAUGUGAUGAUGAUGAUGAUCUUCCAGUUCAUGAUGAUGAUGAUGGAUGCUUUCAGUUUUAGUUAAGUUGUAGGGAUGUUGUUCCUAUUCGAUGAUGUUCCUCGGUUAUGUUUUAGUUAAGUAUGAGGGAUGUUGAUGAAUGCUUUUAGUUUAAGUUUCUUUCUCGAGAAAAUAUUAAGAUAUGCAUCACAUUUGGAUGCUCUUCCUCCUGUAAUAUCCACUACUGUAAUCCAACAAUUUUAUCCAAUAUAUGAUUUCUUCCUCUUGUGAGUAUAUUUUCUUGUCUUUUCCUAGCUUGAUAUACAUAAUUAUCACCAUUAUGUGGAGCAUUAAUUCAAUUGCUGUUAUAUACAUAUAUUAUUAUUAUUAUUAUUAUUAUUCACACUAUAUAUGUACAAACACCUAAAGCGUGGCAAAUUAUCUAUUGCCAAACAAUGAGAUUUGGAUUCUGGUAUAUUGAGCACUGAUGACCCACAAGUAUAGGGGAUCUAUCGUAGUCGUUUCGAUAAGUAAGAGUGUCGAACCCAACGAGGAGCAGAAGGAAAUGACAAGCGGUUUUCAGUAAGGUAUUCUCUGCAAACAUUGAAAUUAU
rnacentral:lncRNA from 1 species